rnacentral:tRNA from 1 species
UUUAAUAUGGCAGACUUUUAGUGCCUUGGACUUAAACUCCAAUCAUAAAGAUUUAAUAUAAUCUUUUAUUAAAU